UACGUAGGGGCUAGCGUUGUCCGGAAUCAUUGGGCGUAAAGAGCGUGUAGGUGGCCACAUAAGUCCGUUGUGAAAGUCAAAGGCUCAACCUUUGAAAGCCGAUGAAUACUGUGUGGCUAGAGUACGGAAGAGGCGAGUGGAAUUCCUGGUGUAGCGGUGGAAUGCGCAGAUAUCAGGAGGAACACCAAUAGCGAAGGCAGCUCGCUGGGACGUUACUGACACUGAGGCGCGAAAGCGUGGGAGCGAACAGG
rnacentral:rRNA from 1 species